GCCGAACGCUGGCGGCGUGCCUAAUACAUGCAAGUAGGACGCAGUUGCGAACGGGUGAGUAACGCGUAGGUACCUGCCUAUUCGAGGGGGAUAACUAUUGGAAACGAUAGCUAAUACCGCAUACUAGUAGAUGGACCUGCGUUGUAUUAGCUAGUAGGUAGGGUAAGGGCCUACCUAGGCGACGAUACAUAGCCGACCUGAGAGUGUGAUCGGGCACAUGGGGACUGAGACACGGCCCAGACUCCGACGGGAGGCAGCAGUAGGGAAUCUUCGGAAAUGGGGGGAACCCUGACCGAGCAACGACGCGUGAGAGAAGAAGGUUUUCGGAUCGUAAAGCUCUGUUGUUAAGGAAGCGGUACUUAACCAGAAAGGGACGGCUAACUACGUGCCAGCAGCCGCGGUAAUAC
rnacentral:rRNA from 1 species